rnacentral:rRNA from 1 species
UGGGGAAUAUUGGACAAUGGGCGAAAGCCUGAUCCAGCCAUGCCGCGUGUGUGAAGAAGGUCUUCGGAUUGUAACGCACUUUAAGUUGGGAGGAAGGGCAGUAAGCGAAUACCUUGCUGUUUUGACGUUACCGACAGAAUAAGCACCGGCUAACUCUGUGCCAGCAGCCGCGGUAAUACAGAGGGUGCAAGCGUUAAUCGGAAUUACUGGGCGUAAAGCGCGCGUAGGUGGUUCGUUAAGUUGAAUGUGAAAGCCCCGGGCUCAACCUGGGAACUGCAUCCAAAACUGGCGAGCUGGAGUAGGGCAGAGGGUGGUGGAAUUUCCUGUGUAGCGGUGAAAUGCGUAGAUAUAGGAAGGAACACCAGUGGCGAAGGCGACCACCUGGGCUCAUACUGACACUGAGGUGCGAAAGCGUGGGGAGCAAACAGG